CCUACGGGAGGCAGCAGUGGGGAAUAUUGCACAAUGGGGGAAACCCUGAUGCAGCGACGCCGCGUGAGUGAAGAAGUAUUUCGGUAUGUAAAGCUCUAUCAGCAGGGAAGAAAAUGACGGUAUCUGUCUAAGAAUCUCCGGCUAACUACGUGCCAGCAGCCGCGGUAAUACGCAGGGGGCCAGGGUUAUCCGGAUUUACUGGGUGUAAAGGGAGCGUAGACGGCAGAGCAAGUCAGAAGUGAAAGCCUGCGGCCCAACUGCGGGACUGCAUUGGAAACUGGCCGGCUAGAGUGCUGGAGAGGUAAGCGGAAUUCGUAGUGUAGCGGUGAAAUGCGUAGAUAUUAGGAGGAACACCAGUGGCGAAGGCGGCUUACUGGACAGUAACUGACGUUGAGGCUCGAAAGCGUGGGGAGCAAACAGGAUUAGAUACCCCUGUAGUC
rnacentral:rRNA from 1 species